UUCGCAGCCGGAGGUCGUCCCUCUCCCUGCGAGGGCCACGAGCGCCCAGCCCUGCUCCCGAGGGACUCCACGGGAAGCCGUCUAGAAUGGUCGGGGCGACUCACCGUCGCCGCGGCACCGGCGGCGGCCGCAAUAUCAAGAAUGACCACCUCCGAAGCUCGUAGUCGGGCGUCUGCCAGAAGGAGGCGGGUUGGAGGCAACAGGAGUGAAUUGAGUACAGCUGUGUAAUCUAACACUCCAGGUUCCCAGCCCUUUGACACCGAUAAGAACAGGUGCAGCAUGAUGUGCUUCCACAAACCAAGCAUGCCCGUGGACCACCUCCCAGCGACCUGACUUGCACUGCCUUCCAAGCACGAGGUCACCCUGGGGUCACCAUGCUCCUGAUUUGUAGCAGCAAAGAUUAGCUUUCUUCCUUUCUGUAAUUUUUAUAGAAAUGGAUUCUCGUGGUAUGAGCUCUUGACUGUGGCUUCUUUGGCUCAGUCUUGCGCCUAUGAGUCAUCCAUAGUGCUCUACACAGUUGUCAGCGUUCAUUCUCACAGUCGUGUGAUAGUCCAUUGUGUGAACAGACCGAAGUUUGUCUGUUUUGCUGCUCAUGGCAUCCAGGUUAUUCCGAGGUGGGAAUUUUUGGCUAUUCUCAUCGUGCUGUCACAAGCUUUCCAGUGCAUGGCGUGAGCAUAACUGUCAGGUGCCCAGUGAGGGGGAGAGGCUGGGUCACAGGGUGCUCCUUUGUUCAGCUUUGUAGAUCCCGACACAAGGUUUCCCAAAGUACUUCUGCCAACAUACACUCCCCCAGAGCAUCAGGGUUCUGCUGGUCACAUCCUCGAGAACACUUGGUAUUGCCAAACCUUCGAACCUAACUGCUAAAGAUUCUAAAUGGACACAUGAAUGAUUUCAAUGUUGACAUCUAUUUUGUUGCAUUUCUGUCAUUAAUACGGCCCAUGGGAGUUAACAGCUCUCUUUCACAUGUCAUCCACUUUGCACCUGUCAUCCAGUUUAGCAAGCACCCACUGCCUACUCUGGUAGUGGGUGUGCGUGUGUGCUCAGUUGUGUCCCACUCUUUGCCACCCCAUGGACUAUACCCCAUCAGGCUCCUCCGUCCAUGGAACUUCCCAGACAAGAAUAUGGAGCAAAUUGCCAUUUCCCUCUCCAGGGGAUCUUCCUGACCCAGGGACCGACUCAUAUCUCUUAUGUCUCUUGAACUGGCAGGCAAACUCUUUACCACUAGCACUCUGGGCCUCAGUUUCUCUAUCUGUCGAAUAGCUAGCUGGCCAUUUGUCGAAAACCAUGCCAGGCGUUUAAUAAAUACCAUUUGACUCCUUUAGUAACCCUUCUUUUAUAUUGCCUUUCCACUGCCCACCCCCAACCCCAUC